AUUUGUUCAGAUCACAAUCGUUGUCUUUAGUUCCACAAAAAAGACAACCCACCGAAUAAAAUUAGGAACAUCGAUCGAUUUCGAUUGCGAGAUUCUCAUAUUAUCCAGUUAUUGGGUCUGCUUUUCUACUGUUUGUUUUGCAAUUUGCGAAUUUUAUGAAGAGAUUUCUUCUUCAAGAAUUAUCAAGAAGUCGGAUCUUAUAUGGAUUUACCUAGAACCCUAACAGAUUUCAAGUCUUCUCGGUUAGUGAGAUCACAUCAUAUCUUCUCGAAUGUAAAAGCAGAUCUCAAUCGCAUAUAUUCCGCUUUUUUGGUUAUAGAAACAUCUUUUACAUUCGAGAGCAUCAGAAAGGCCUUGACCCGCGAAGCCCAAUAAGAUGAGAUGCGCGAUUAUUACGGAGCCAAAUCCCAUAGUCUCAAGAUCCGCGUGUUUUACCGAAGAAGCAUUGAUAUAGAUCCGACCCAUGACCCAAGAUCCGCUUUUAAGUGACAGCAAAUUAGCCAUUUUGCCCUUCAACGAAAUUUUUAAAUUAUUCUUAGAAUGAAAAAAUUAUAAUGGCAAUUUUUGUAAUUUUUUACCUUUCAUAAGGUUAUUUAUUAUCGAAUGUUUUCCAAUUAAUAGUAUAGAUAAAUGUACUCCACAUAAAUUCUCAAUUUUUAUAAAUAUGUGGGAAUAAAACUAGUUGACUACUGAAA